AAAUUAAAUUUGGUGGGAAUUAAACUUUAAGAAUCACUAAUUAAUUUGGUGCGGGGUGGCCAACAAUCUCAUCCCUAUCCAGAGAAAAAAUAAUAUUAAAAUGACGAGUCCACGAGAAUUAAGUAGUAUGAUACUAAAAUCCUAUGACGAGUAUGAUACUAAAAUUAUAUAUUUGUCUGCAGACAUGCAUAUAAACCUGUCUAUAAGUCUAUCACUAUAUGCCAAAUAACUAUUUGUGUGCAUACAUAUAUAGAGAUUAGAGACCUAUACGUUUGAAAGGAUAAAAUACUUUAGAAUGAGUUAUUCCUUUUAUCCCAAGAAAAUGAUCUGUUCGACCUAGUCCUCAUGAGAGUAGGACUGUGAAAGGAUAAAGUAUUAGGAUGGACAAUCUAGUCCUACACUUGCCAAGGAUCAGAAUGAUCCUUGGAUAAAUAUGAAUUAUCCCAAGGAUCAUAAUGACCAUGUGAUCAUAUAAAGAUAAAUGAAUCUCAUAAUGGGAUUAGGUUUAGAGUCUUGGUGAGAAUCAAAGAGGCCAAGACUCUGAUCCUUGGAUAAAUAUGAAUUAUCCUAGGGAUCAUAAUGACUAUGAUAAUAUAAAGAUAAAUGAAUCUCAUAAUGGGAUUAGGUUUAGAGUCCUGGUGAGAAUCAAAGAGGCCAAAACUGCAUGGCGAUGAAGUUUCUGCUAAAGGGGAUAAAAGGAAAAUUCAAGCAAAUGCUGAGCAAACACAGUCUCAUUAGGACUCUGCUUCGGCAGGCUUGUUUAUUAUGGAAGUGUUGCCUAUAAAUAGAGGAGGCUUCAACUCUACUAACGACUCAAACGAUCUACAUCAAAACCCUUCUCACACCUUUUGAGAAAAAUGCUAACUAUCAUAAUCCUCCCAUCAACACAUCUUUACUUCGGAUAAGUGAAAAGCACUGUGUUGACAAAUCCGUGACACCAUCAGUUCGGAUAAGUGAACCGCACUAUACCCGUAGAACCAAGCAACUUAAGAGCAUCUUCAAUUCGAACAAGUAAACUACACUGCUUUUGGUUGGUUGGUUAUCUAUCCAAGUCUUGGUAGACAAAAUUUUUCCCAAAAGGGGUAAUCUCAUUAGCUUCUCGGUGAAGUGAGGUGUUACCAAGUUACCCCUUUUUGGCAUAGUGAAAACCGUACGAAUUAUUGAACUUUGCAUUGAUCUAGUAACCUUGUCUUUAGGUUCUAAAACCCAAAGUCGAGAUGUAUUUCUUCCUCGACCGUAAUCGCUCGAGUAAAGAAGUUAGCAGCGCAUUCGACACCACGACCACAUCUAUUCUACUUUCAUGAUCGAGCUCGGUUGUGAAUUGGCACACCUGCAUUCACAAGAAGGACGUAGUUAGCUAGUAAUUACUUGACAUGCGCACCAUGUAGGCAUUGAAAUUUUAUGGUCAAUAAUUUGGCAUGACGGAUGGGAUCAGUGCUAGGAUAACUAUGAAGUUCAUGACCAUCGAAACUUGCUCUGUUAAGAAGAAAACAGCUAUGGUGAAAUCAUCUGCAAAUCAGUCAUCUAUGAUUCAGACGUCUGCAAACCAAGCAAUUGUGCUUAUCGGUGAGAAUUGGCACAUGAUCAUUCUAUUUGCCGUCACACCAGACACUACAACCAAAAGUUAUUGGUGAUGUUUAUAGAACGGACAAAAAAGACCUGCUGAUUUCGAACCUCAGGAGGGCAUGAUCGAAGAGGAAAAUGAAGAAGGCGAUGAAGCAUUAUACAUGCCCUUCAUAACUUUUCUUUGACAUAGACUCGUCGAACCCACUAUACAUUUACAGUACACUUUAGAGAGUGAUUUUGGCCAACGCAAGCUCAUGCAGGACAAAAUGAAUCAGUACUAUGAAUGGAUACAGAGGUGUCAUGAAGAAACGAAUCGUUUGUUGACUGCUUUAUUUCACCAAAUUUCACCAGUCUAGGAUGAACAACAUUAUCGAAAAACAGGUGGCGAGUGUUGCACAACCGAGAAAGAAAGUGUCUCUUGAAAUGAUAGGACACUCCAGACGCAACAACUUGAGGCCAUACGAGUCGAAAUAGGGUCGGCCAGGAUUCUCCUUAUGGGUCGUUACCUUUCAGUGGCAUUGCUAGGAAUAAAGAAACAGGAGACCUAACCAGUGACGGAUCCAAAAUUUUAACAUAGGGUGGUGAGUGCUGGUGCUCUAUCAUAGUAGAAUGUUCUUUUUAUAUUUUUAAUGGUGAGUGUAAAUAUAUGAUGAGUAAAAAGAUAAAACAAAGAUGUGUGCAUAGUAUCACUCUAAAAAAGUUAUACUAUAUUAGAAAUUUGGUUUAUUAUUUUAAUUUAUGGGCCAGGUGAGGCAACCUCAUUGGCCACCAAUUGCAAAAGAAGUUAAAAGGUCUUACAUCUGAAGGCACCACACCUCCUGAUAUUAUCUUACUUUUCUCAGCAUCGAAGCCACGUCCUAUUUCAUGAAUUUCUUAUUAAUGAGUGCGCUAGGUGGAGCAACCUCAUUGGAGAUUGAUUACAAACAGAGACAAAAGGUUGCUCUGCAUCGUCUUCUU
rnacentral:lncRNA from 1 species